rnacentral:sRNA from 1 species
AAGCAUUACCUCAAAAUUUGAAUUACCCCUGGUGGGGUUCCCGAGCGGCCAGCGAGAGAGCGUUGCCGCAGGCAACGACCCGAAGGGCGAAGCGCGCAGCGCUGAGUAAUCCUUCCCCCACCA